AAUGACAGUCCUUUGUCCUCCAAUACAUUGAGCAAUACCAAACUCCGUUCCUUCUUCAUUUGUUCGAAAACCAGAGUAGUGAGGGAGAGAGUAAUGAGCUUCAUCGACUCCAUCGUCUUCUUCGCAUCAGUCAUCACCAGCCGCCAUCGACGCCAUCUUCCUCUCAACGGCUCUCUCUCGAUGGCUCUCUCUUGUCGGCGCUCUCUUUCUUGUUGUCUCUCUCUCUAGCUCGCUCUAUCUCUUGUAUUGUGCUUUCCUCUCUUUCCACUCUUCUUCUCUGUCUGUCUCCGUUCUUGGUGAUAUUUGAUGGGUUCAAUCUGCUAUGUCUCUCUCUUCCUCUCUUUCCACUCGCUCACUCAAGCUUAUUCUUAUGAAAUUAUGCUUUUUAUUGGUUUAUUUUUGUUAGAUUAUAAUUGGGUAUUUUUCUAGGGUUUUCUAUUUUGAAUUGUUUUUAUUAUGGGGUUUUUGUUUGGAAUGAUAAUAUAUAUAAACAAAUUGAUGGGUGGAAUUGGAGCCCUUGUUUAGCUGGUUGUCUAUUCAUAUAGAUUUUUUUUUUUCUGGGGUGCUUUGCUUUCAUACGAACUCGGGUCAAUCUCCUUUCUCAGUCUGAGGCUUUAAUUUCACAAACUGAGAUGAGAGAUGGUAUGUGGUUCGUGAAAUUCUUGAAGCAUGAGUUGAUGUAGGUGAUUGUUAAUGAGAUUUGUUUUAUUACUCAAGAAUUCUAAUCAUGAUGAAUCCAAUUGGAGUUUUUGGGGUUGUUAGUGGAGAAUUGAGGUUGUCAUCAAAAGAGAAGAUGAGGUUUUUAACUGGGAAACCUCAUCACUGGUUCUGGUUUCUUCAACCCAAUUGGUUGAUGGUUAACUUUUGCAAGCCACAUGUGUUUUCCUAGAUAUUGGGACAAUAACUUAGGUGUCACAUUCUGAUAGAGGGGUUUUGCUGAAAAAGGAAGAAGAAGAAAAGGUAGCUGAAGUGGCUGAAAAAUUGCAGAGCUAUUGUGUUAGUGAACCAGUGAAAUGCCCUCUUAUUUUCGGAGGUAAAAAACUAUUAAGGUGUGGACUUUAUUUCUGGAGAUGCAUAUUACAACCUAACUUUUGGGAUGAACUGAAAUAUCUUAUUUUCUGGCAUUGUGGCCAAAACUCAAAACUCCUAGUUCAAAAUUAGUCUUGACUUCAAAGUUCAAAGAAGUUAAAAGUGGAAGAACAAGCAUCCAUAUGACAUAUGAUUUUCAUCUUGAUCCAGGUGUUGAAAACAACAAUGGCAGUUACCACAACUGCCUUGGCAUUUGUUUUUUAACAUUAGCAUGAGCAAUUGUAUGGCCCUCUGUAACAUAGAUGAUACUCUGCUCAUUGUUGUUAAAAGCAUGGUAUGCAUUUAUCUGUUGUUGUUAUUGGUCAUAUGAUGACAUGAUUCAAGUUAUUGAAGCUUCUGACGUUGUUAAAGACAAAGUAUCCUUCUCUGCUUUUGGGUUCUUGGAUGGAGAAGUCUCUUUAACAGGAAAGUUGAAGGCUUUAGACGAUAAAUGGAUCCAAGUUCUAUUUGAGCCACCAGAACUGAAGGUUGGAGCGUUGGAGUUUUGAUAUGGUGGUGAAAGUGAGGUUAAACUCCAGAUCACAUACAUGGAUGACAAUGUGAGGUUGGGGAAGGGCUCUAGAGGUUAUCUUUUUGUUUUCUAAAGACGUGGUAAUCCCACUUGAAAUGGUUAUUGUGAGACAA